GUGGGGAAUCUUGCGCAAUGGGCGAAAGCCUGACGCAGCCAUGCCGCGUGAAUGAUGAAGGUCUUAGGAUUGUAAAAUUCUUUCACCGGGGACGAUAAUGACGGUACCCGGAGAAGAAGCCCCGGCUAACUUCGUGCCAGCAGCCGCGGUAAUACGAAGGGGGCUAGCGUUGCUCGGAAUUACUGGGCGUAAAGGGCGCGUAGGCGGACAGUUUAGUCAGAGGUGAAAGCCCAGGGCUCAACCUUGGAAUUGCCUUUGAUACUGGCUGUCUUGAGUACGGGAGAGGUGAGUGGAACUCCGAGUGUAGAGGUGAAAUUCGUAGAUAUUCGGAAGAACACCAGUGGCGAAGGCGACUCACUGGCCCAAUACUGACGCUGAGGCGCGAAAGCGUGGGGAGCAAACAGGAUUAGAUACCCUAGUAGUCC
rnacentral:rRNA from 1 species